CUCUUGGUUCUGAGGUUGUGAAACAGUGGCUCGCCGAAGUACUAAUUCUUCGCUCUGAAGGCUUUGUUCUUGAUCCGGGAGUUGUAGUAGUGGACUACUUUCUGCUUGUAGGCUGCCAUCCGAACUUGAGCUAUCUUCCAUUUUUCUUCUAACAAGUUGAGGUUGGCCUUGAGAUCCUAUGAGUUGCGCUGCUCAUCGAAUGCCAUGACUCGCGCC
rnacentral:lncRNA from 1 species